rnacentral:rRNA from 1 species
GGGCGUAAGAGCUCGUAGGCGGUUCAGUAAGUCGGGUGUGAAAACUCUGGGCUCAACCCGGAGACGCCACCCGAUACUGUUGAACUAGAGUUCGGUAGGGGAGUGGGGAAUUCCUGGUGUAGCGGUGAAAUGCGCAGAUAUCAGGAGGAACACCGGUGGCGAAGGCGCCACUCUGGGCCGAAACUGACGCUGAGGAGCGAAAGCGUGGGUAGCAAACAGGAUUAGAUACCCUGGUAGUCCACGCCGUAAACGUUGGGCACUAGGUGUGGGCUCCAACCAACGGAGUCCGUGCCGUCGCUAACGCAUUAAGUGCCCCGCCUGGGGAGUACGGCCGCAAGGUUAAAACUCAAAGGAAUUGACGGGGCCCCGCACAAGCAGCGGAGCGUGUUGCUUAAUUCGAUGCGACGCGAAGAACCUUACCUGGGCUUGACAUGCAGGGAAAAGCCGUAGAGAUACGGUGUCCUUCGGGGCCUUGCACAGGUGGUGCAUGGCUGUCGUCAGCUCGUGUCGUGAGAUGUUGGGUUAAGUCCCGCAACGAGCGCAACCCUUGUCCUAUGUUGCCAGCGGGUAAUGCCGGGGACUCGUAGGAGACUGCCGGGGUCAACUCGGAGGAAGGUAAU